AUUGAACGCUGGCGGCAUGCUUUACACAUGCAAGUCGAACGGUAACAGCACUUCGGUGGCUGACGAGUGGCGAACGGGUGAGUAAUACAUCGGAACGUGCCUAGUAGUGGGGGAUAACUACUCGAAAGAGUAGCUAAUACCGCAUGAGAUCUAAGGAUGAAAGCAGGGGACCUUCGGGCCUUGCGCUACUAGAGCGGCUGAUGGCAGAUUAGGUAGUUGGUGGGAUAAAAGCUUACCAAGCCGACGAUCUGUAGCUGGUCUGAGAGGACGACCAGCCACACUGGGACUGAGACACGGCCCAGACUCCUACGGGAGGCAGCAGUGGGGAAUUUUGGACAAUGGGCGCAAGCCUGAUCCAGCAAUGCCGUGUGCAGGAUGAAGGCCUUCGGGUUGUAAACUGCUUUUGUACGGAACGAAAAGCCCUCUUCUAAUACAGGAGGGUCAUGACGGUACCGUAAGAAUAAGCACCGGCUAACUACGUG
rnacentral:rRNA from 1 species